rnacentral:lncRNA from 1 species
AGUGAAUGAAGCGUGUUUUUGACUGUAAGACCCCAAUUUUGACCCUAAGAUCCCUCAUGGCAUCAUAACAUUGCAUUUGCAUAGCCUCAAGGAUCAUGAGCAUCUUGGUUCCCUUUGCCUUUGGGUGGGACUCCUUGUGAUUGGUUUGAGAUCACCAAGCAUGCUUGAAUUAUACAUCAUUGUUUCUCUUACUUUUGUUUACUAAAAAAAACGAAAAAAAACGAAAAAAAAAGAAAGAAAAGAAAAAAAAGAAAAAAGAAAAACGAAAAAAAUAAAUAAAUAAAAUAUACCAAAAAAAUUUUGGACUUUGGCCUCUCUCAUUUGAGCCCACAGGUCCACAAAAACC